UGAGGAAUAUUGGUCAAUGGCCGGAAGGCUGAACCAGCCAAGUCGCGUGAGGGAAUAAGGCCCUACGGGUCGUAAACCUCUUUUGUCAGGGAGCAAGGCCGCCCACGUGUGGACGGAAGGAGAGUACCUGGAGAAAAAGCAUCGGCUAACUCCGUGCCAGCAGCCGCGGUAAUACGGAGGAUGCGAGCGUUAUCCGGAUUUAUUGGGUUUAAAGGGUGCGUAGGCGGCCUGCCAAGUCAGCGGUAAAAUUGCGGGGCUCAACCCCGUACAGCCGUUGAAACUGCCGGGCUCGAGUGGGCGAGAAGUAUGCGGAAUGCGUGGUGUAGCGGUGAAAUGCAUAGAUAUCACGCAGAACCCCGAUUGCGAAGGCAGCAUACCGGCGCCCUACUGACGCUGAGGCACGAAAGUGCGGGGAUCAAACAGG
rnacentral:rRNA from 1 species